GUUUUUCUUCGUCAACCCUCUGUGCACGUUUGGCUUUAGAUCGAGCAGCGGCGCUCCCGAUCCAGUCGGGACAUGUAGGACGACGGCGGCAGGGCUUCGGAAAGCGGGGAAGCGGCGGACGUCGAGGCGAGGUGGACCAGGUCAGGAUCCAGCGCAGUGGCCGGCGCUCCAUGGUCGUGGCGCCUCGGUCUCCUGGGAAGAAGAGACGUGGAAGAGAGAGGAGGUGAGAUGGGGAGAAGAGAAGGCAGAGUAAGGACGGCGCAGAUUCCGGCGGUGGCUCCGGUUGGCGGAUCUAGGCCAACUCUUGAUGGAUUUCCAAUGUGCUGUUGGCCUCUGAAUUUUUUCUGUCGUGUAGCCGCUCACCAUCUUAGCGUGUGCUAUUCACGGAAGCUGGCUCCUCCACUCAGGCCCUCCUCUGCAAUGCCGACGAGGACACUACUUCGUCUGAACCAAUCUUCGCGACCACGUGCAGAUGGAAUUUUCUCAUAUGACAUCAGGGAUGUAGGUUGAUUGGGUGAACAAGCUUCCUGUGAAACAUCCAGAUCUCGGUGGCAGUGCUUCCGUUCAGCAUCCCACGCGGCGACGUCCUCCGGCAUAAUGCCAAAUACCGUCAGGGAGAGAGCAGAGCGGGAGGGGUAUUGGGUCCAUACCAUUUUGGGUGUUGCUAGUGCCAUGAUUGUGGGUAAUACCCACAGAAGAUUCUAUUCUUGUGAGCGGAUUAAACAAAGUUGAGUAAACAUCAUCCAUAGGAGAUACAUGUGGUAAUUAAGUUUAGAGGAGAAAGUGGUUCUUUAUUCUUGUAAUUUUGGUGUAGAUGUCAUACAGGGGCAGAGAACAAUGGUCUUUUGGGAAAGCCUGUUAACUUUUUGGAGCUGCCUGGUAAAUUUUGGUACGAAUUUAUGUUAGUUCUACCUUUCCAUGAUGUUUAAUUGCUCGGUUCUUAAGGAUUUGUAAGAGGAGAUGGAUUUUGGACUACUCUAUUUCGGAUGCCAGUAACGCGGAUCUUCAGAUGAAAAAUAAAAGAGUGUGCA
rnacentral:rRNA from 1 species